rnacentral:rRNA from 1 species
GAUGAACGCUGGCGGCGUGCCUAAUACAUGCAAGUCGAGCGAACAGAUGAGGAGCUUGCUCCUUUGACGUUAGCGGCGGACGGGUGAGUAACACGUGGAUAACCUACCUAUAAGACUGGGAUAACUUCGGGAAACCGGAGCUAAUACCGGAUAAUAUAUUGAACCGCAUGGUUCAAUAGUGAAAGACGGUUUUGCUGUCACUUAUAGAUGGAUCCGCGCCGCAUUAGCUAGUUGGUAAGGUAACGGCUUACCAAGGCAACGAUGCGUAGCCGACCUGAGAGGGUGAUCGGCCACACUGGAACUGAGACACGGUCCAGACUCCUACGGGAGGCAGCAGUAGGGAAUCUUCCGCAAUGGGCGAAAGCCUGACGGAGCAACGCCGCGUGAGUGAUGAAGGUCUUCGGAUCGUAAAACUCUGUUAUUAGGGAAGAACAAAUGUGUAAGUAACUGUGCACGUCUUGACGGUACCUAAUCAGAAAGCCACGGCUAACUACGUG